AUCCAGCUGACGAGUUCAAAUAGGACGAAAGGGACGUCCUGAAU
rfam:Schistosoma haematobium scaffold1136_4, whole genome shotgun sequence.